AUUUAAUGAGAAAGUUAAUACAUAAAAAAUGCCAAGUGAAAUAAUUACGCUACAAUUGGGCCAAUGCGGCAAUCAGAUUGGCUUCGAGUUCUGGAAGCGACUAUGUUUGGAGCACGGCAUUUCACCGGACGGAGUCCUGGAGGAUUUUACGGCUGAUGGACACGAUCGGAAGGAUGUGUUCUUCUAUCAGGCAGAUGAUAAUCAUUAUGUACCACGAUCGGUGCUCAUCGAUCUGGAGCCACGCGUCAUACACAACAUUAUGAGCUCGCCCUAUUCCAAGCUCUACAAUCCGGAGAAUGUGUACUUGUCAAAGCAUGGAGGCGGAGCUGGCAACAAUUGGGCCUCCGGCUUUAGCCAGGGCGAAAAGGUGCACGAGGAGGUCUUCGAUAUAUUGGAUCGUGAGGCCGAUGGCAGCGAGUCCCUGGAGGGUUUUGUGCUCUGCCAUUCGAUAGCUGGUGGCACUGGCUCUGGGAUGGGUUCGUAUGUGCUCGAACGGCUCUCGGAUCACUUUCCCAAGAAGCUAAUACAAACGUACAGUGUGUUCCCCAACCAGGAAGAGAUCAGCGAUGUCGUCGUCCAGCCCUACAAUUCGAUACUGACACUCAAACGGCUCACGAAUUGUGCGGAUAGCGUUGUGGUGCUGGACAACACGGCACUGAAUCGCAUUGCCACCGAACGGCUCCACCUGCAGACGCCCACAUUCACCCAGAUCAACAAUCUGGUGUCGACGAUCAUGAGCGUGAGCACCAGCACACUGCGCUACCCAUCGUACAUGAACAACAAUCUGAUAGGACUAAUGGCGCCUCUGAUUCCCACGCCACAGCUGCACUUCCUCAUGACUGGCUACACGCCACUAAUCACCGACUUGGAGACAACGACCAAUGUGCGCAAGACGACAGUUUUGGAUGUGAUGCGGCGGCUGCUGCAGCCCAAGAAUAUGAUGGUGUCAUCGACGGCUGACAAGCGUCACUGCUACAUCUCCAUAUUGAACAUCAUACAGGGCGAGGUGGAUCCCACACAAGUGCACAAGUCACUGCAGCGCAUUCGCGAACGCAAACUGGCCCAAUUUAUACCCUGGGGUCCCGCAAGCAUUCAGGUUGCCUUGUCGCGCAGCUCACCCUACGUGCAAACGUCGCACAAGGUGUCCGGUCUGAUGAUGGCUAAUCACACAGGCAUCAGCGCCCUGUUCAAUCGGGCUCUGAUCCAGUACGACAAGCUGAAGAAGCGCAAUGCCUUCCUAGAUCAGUUCAGGCGUGAGCCCAUGUUUCAGGAUGAUCUCAACGAGCUGGAUUCGGCACGUGACACUGUUGACUGCCUGGUGCAGGAGUACGAGGCAGCCACGCAGUCGGACUACCAACAGUGGAGUGCGGUUGCAAUGGGGCCAAAACCCUAAGUCCAAAAUAUGUUAUACGAUAAUCGUAGUGAGCUCGUAAAAUUCAUUUAAGAAGUAGUCUGUGCCUCACAAUAUCAGCCAAAUAUAAAAAUCAGUCAUGAGACUGCUUAAUAGGUCAUUCAAGAAUUUCUUGGACACCAUGAAGUAUUAUCUCGGCAGUGGAUUCCAAAGAGCUUUCAAAAUUUACGUGCAACUAACUGGAAUAGGAUGUUUCCGGCCUUGAAAUGAAUCUGGAUAAACAUCUUUAUAACACACGACUGACAGUUGAGCCUUUAUUGUGGUUUUUUAUAUCACCAGAUAUAACAUAUCAUGCAGUUUGCGAGUAAAUCAUAGAUUACAUACUUGAGCUAUAAAUAACAUGCAAUGCUAUAGAUAUUAAAAUGUAAACCAGAAAUCAUUGAUUAAAAACACUAAGCAAAGAAACCUUCAGCUAGAAAA
rnacentral:misc_RNA from 1 species